CGACGUCCAUGUCAGAAACACCCACCUUCAGAGCGUGCCACGCGUCCCAUUAAAUGAAACUCCGCGUACUGAGCUUUUUUUUUGUCGUCAUUACAGAUGGGCUUCACGCUGUGUCUCUGCGGCGGCCCAGAUACCAUAUGGGCGUCUUCGUGUCCUCCGUCCCUCUCUUAGAUCGGCCGACGACGAUUCAGUCUGUAACGGUUGCAGUUCUUCUCCCCUGCUUUAGAAAUAUGGCAACGUUACGAAACUCACCGCAAUCAAUCGUCAUUAACCUUCUAAUUGACUUCAUCUCCCCCACUCCUUCCACGUUUUCACAUUCAAUGCAUCCUCUCCUUUCUUCCCGUCUGUGAGCCUGUAGCUAUAAAUAUGUAUUUAAUCUGAGUGAAGUGAAACCCUGUAAAUUUGUACGGUACGGUUUGGUGUGUGAAGAAGUUCGCAGCAGAAGAAGAUGAAUGGGGAGGAGAAUGAAGAGAACUGUUGAAGAACUGUUUGAUUUAUUGGAAUGAUAGUGCUUUUUUUUUCUUUUUCUUAAAUCAUAUGGUUCUUCGUUUUAAGAAUAAGUAUCUAUGUGGGUUUAACUCUUUCUCUGAUUCUCAAGAAAGCAAACCAUUGCAUGUCAAAGUAAUAUUUUGUUAUACCAAUUGUUUAUAUUACCA